UACGGGGGGGGCAAGCGUUGUUCGGAAUUACUGGGCGUAAAGGGCUCGUAGGUGGCCAACUAAGUCAGACGUGAAAUCCCUCGGCUUAACCGGGGAACUGCGUCUGAUACUGGAUGGCUUGAGGUUGGGAGAGGGAUGCGGAAUUCCAGGUGUAGCGGUGAAAUGCGUAGAUAUCUGGAGGAACACCGGUGGCGAAGGCGGCCAUCUGGACAACUACUGACACUGAGACGCGAAAGCGUGGGUAGCAAACAGG
rnacentral:rRNA from 1 species